CUCAGGAGGGACUCGCUUUUCUUGCUGUUUUCUCUGCUGUUCUGUCCUUUUGGGCACUCCCUGCUUUUGCAGAAACUGGGAUGUCAUCUGCUUGCACAAGUAUAUCCAGGACCCGGAGCUGAUGCGUUUAGUGAGACCAGUAUGGUACCCGCACUGAUUGUGGUGGUGUGGAGAUCAGGACACGGAUAUGUGAGAGCAGAGGGAAGAGGAUGUGGCAUCAAUGGGAAGAACAAGUCAACUAAGAACCUGGCCAUAAUGCUAUGGAGCAACAGAAGGUGGCCACUAACCUGUGAAGAUGCUGCCACUGAAUACCUCUGUCAGCAAAGGACCUUGAAAUGAAGUCACUUUUCCCAUGCCAGCUCUUCAUUCCCCAGGUGAUGGGAACUGUUCAGCUGAACUGACUUGUCAAGUGU